GUCCCAUCAGAAUUGGGAGGUAUCACACAGAAGAUAUGAAAGAGGCAUAUGCUCACCUGGCUCUUGAUCCUUUUUCUUUGCAGGACUUGACUCCUGGCAUGCGCUCUUUUGCAGAUUUAGACCAGGAAUCGCAAACUCAAGUGACUGCAGAGGCCGGAAAAGAAUGGAGGCCCUGGCUUCAUAAAGUGCUGUCAACCGUGAGAACUCAGUUCACCCUGUGACCCCUGCUUACUACCAAGCAGCCACUUGCAGCAGCUUCCCAAGGUCAGGAGAUGGAGAGGGUCUGCUGAGGCCUAGUCUCAGAAGUCAGAGCUGGCCUUUCAACUUUGGAAA